AACGGAUCUCUUGGGACCACUGACAGCAAAGAGAAUAAAAAAAAGGAAAUGAAAAGAUCUGGAGGAGGUCUCCACUCACUCCUCAGACUUCACGCUCUCUGAACCUAGAGACAAAAGGAAAAUAAUAAAAGGAAAAAGGAAACUGAGAAACCUCUAACUCACUCAUGACUCCUACUCUCUCUCUCUCACCCACUAAAAAAAAGCAACAGAAAAAAGAAAAAGAAAUUGUUGGCUUUCAUCUCUUUCCACACGUAAACACACAA
rnacentral:lncRNA from 1 species